UUGGCCGACUCGUGAGUGAUAUGAUAACGUUAGGAUGCCGUUAUAGGUGGGCUCCUGAGAACGGUUUAUACUAUGCGUAUUGUUAUCGCAACGAUAUGGAAGGGACUGGUUGUUUGCACAGACCGAGUAUCAACCCUCUCUCCGUGAAGCGAGCCAACUUCCCCGACGAAGCCGUUCUUCGAUCGCAUCCAAAUUCAGUGAAGGCUUCUAGAUCAACGCGCAACCGGUGAAACGCGUUAACUUCCGUCGAGAUAGCUUCGUCGAGAAUUUCGUCGGCGAAUAAAUUUGAUCGGAUUCUAAUAAAGCUGAACUUCGCAGGAUACGAGUAAACGUUGGGGACGUACUUUCUCUAGGUAUAAUAUCAACGAUAAAUCCUUACGCUUUUUAACGAGAAAUAGCCAAAGCGUUCUUGAUUGGGCGCAUGAUCGGACGUGGAAUCCUGCGAAUAAAAAGGAUUAAUAAUAUAUAUUUUUCAAUGAUAUUCUCGAACGUAAACGUUCGAUAUAUACCUGAUGAUGUUGUUGCUGUUGCUGCUGGAGAUAAAGGGGAUGUUGCUGCAGGAAGGACUGCAGUUGGCCAGGACUGAGGAUGUGUUGUUGCAACAAUUGUUGCAUUUGGUGGAGGCCGCUCGCCGGGCUGAGCAUCAUCUGAGAAGGAUUCUGUGACGGUGGAGCACCUGGAGGCCCUCCGGGCGGUGGGCCCUGCGAAGGAUUCGGCGGUGAUCCCCGUUGAGGGGCCUGUUUACGAUAAAUACAUACAAUGAUAGAUAAAUCAAGUACAAUUGCGUCGGAUUAAAAAAUUAAAAAUAAAAUGAGAAUUAAAACCUA